rnacentral:rRNA from 1 species
GACGUAGGAGGCGAGCGUUGUCCGGAUUCAUUGGGCGUAAAGAGCGCGCAGGCGGCUUGGUAAGUCGGGUGUGAAACCCCGGGGCUCAACCCCGGAACUGCAUCCGAUACUGCGUGGCUAGAGGUAGGUAGGGGAGAUCGGAAUUCCUGGUGUAGCGGUGAAAUGCGCAGAUAUCAGGAGGAACACCGGUGGCGAAGGCGGAUCUCUGGGCCUUACCUGACGCUCAGGCACGAAAGCUAGGGGAGCGAACAGG